rnacentral:rRNA from 1 species
AUUGAACGCUGGCGGAAUGCUUUACACAUGCAAGUCGAACGGCAGCACGGGAGCUUGCUCCUGGUGGCGAGUGGCGAACGGGUGAGUAACGCGUGGGUAACCUGCCCUAUGGAAAGGAAUAGCCUCGGGAAACUGGGAGUAAUGCCUUAUAAUAUAUGUUUGUCGCAUGGCAGAUAUAUUAAACGCUCCGGUGCCAUAGGAUGGACCCGCGUCCCAUUAGCUAGUUGGUGAGAUAACAGCCCACCAAGGCGACGAUGGGUAACCGGUCUGAGAGGGCGAACGGUCACACUGGAACUGAGACACGGUCCAGACUCCUACGGGAGGCAG